rnacentral:rRNA from 1 species
CCUACGGGCGGCAGCAGUGAGGAAUAUUGGUCAAUGGACGCAAGUCUGAACCAGCCAUGCCGCGUGCAGGAAGACGGCUCUAUGAGUUGUAAACUGCUUUUGUACGAGGGUAAACGCAGAUACGCGUAUCUGUCUGAAAGUAUCGUACGAAUAAGGAUCGGCUCACUCCGUGCCAGCAGCCGCGGUAAUACGGAGGAUUCAAGCGUUAUCCGGAUUUAUUGGGGUUAAAGGGUGCGUAGGCGGUUUGAUAAGUUAGAGGUGAAAGCCCGAGGCUCAACCUCGGAAUUGCCUUUGAUACUGUUAGGCUAGAGUGGAGUUGAGGGAGGCGGAAUGUAUGGUGUAGCGGUGAAAUGCGUAGAGAUCAUCCAGAACACCGAUUGCGAAGGCAGCUUAC